rnacentral:rRNA from 1 species
UACGGGGGGAGCAAGCGUUGUUCGGAUUUACUGGGCGUAAAGGGCGCGUAGGCGGCGUGACAAGUCACUUGUGAAAUCUCCGGGCUUAACUCGGAACGGUCAAGUGAUACUGUCGUGCUAGAGUACAGAAGGGGCAACUGGAAUUCUCGGUGUAGCGGUGAAAUGCGUGGAUAUCGAGAGGAACACCUGCGGCGAAGGCGGGUUGCUGGGCUGAUACUGACGCUGAGGCGCGAAAGCCAGGGGAGCGAACGGG